CCACUCUUGACAUGGCAGAAACAUUCCAGAGAUGGUAUUGUGCUCGAAAGAGGACAUGAACACAGGUGCUGCAUGGCUGUCGUCAGCUCGUGUCGUGAGAUGUUGGGUUAAGUCCCGCAACGAGCGCAACCCUUGUCAUUAGUUGCUACCAUUCAGUUGAGCACUCUAAUGNGACUGCCGGUGAUAAACCGGAGGAAGGUGGGGAUGACGUCAAGUCCUCAUGGCCCUUAURGGURGGGCUACACACGUAAUACAAUGGCUCGUACAAAGGGUUGCCAACCCGCGAGGGGGAGCUAAUCCCAUAAAGCGCGUCGUAGUCCGGAUCGCAGUCUGCAACUCGACUCCGUGAAGUCGGAAUCGCUAGUAAUCGUGGAUCAGAAUGUCRCGGUGAAUACGUUCCC
rnacentral:rRNA from 1 species